rnacentral:rRNA from 1 species
UACGAAGGGGACUAGCGUUGUUCGGAAUCACUGGGCGUAAAGCGCACGUAGGCGGAUUUGUAAGUCAGGGGUGAAAUCCCGGGGCUCAACCUCGGAACUGCCUUUGAUACUGCGAAUCUUGAGUCCGAUAGAGGUGGGUGGAAUUCCUAGUGUAGAGGUGAAAUUCGUAGAUAUUAGGAAGAACACCAGUGGCGAAGGCGGCCCACUGGAUCGGUACUGACGCUGAGGUGCGAAAGCGUGGGGAGCAAACAGGAUUGA